AUUGAACGCUGGCGGCAGGCCUAACACAUGCAAGUCGAACGAGUGGCGGACGGGUGAGUAAUGUCUGGGAAACUGCCUGAUGGAGGGGGAUAACUACUGGAAACGGUAGCUAAUACCGCAUACCAUCAGAUGUGCCCCGAUGGGAUUAGCUAGUAGGUGGGGUAAUGGCUCACCUGGGCGACGAUCCCUAGCUGGUCUGAGAGGAUGACCAGACACACUCGAACUGAGACACGGUCCAGACUCCUACGGGAGGCAGCAGUUGGGCAUAUUUCAUAAUGGGCGCAAGCCUGAUGCAGCCAUGCCGCGUGUAUGAAGAAGGCCUUCGGGUUGUAAAGUACUUGCAGCGGGGAUGCGUUACCGGCAGAAGAAGCACCGGCUAACUCCGUGCCAGCAGCCGCGGUAAUAC
rnacentral:rRNA from 1 species